UUUGUUUUGUUCAUUAUACAGAGUGAUAGUAUUGCUUGGAAUAUACCAGUAAAUUAAUUUCAGACUACAUUUAUGUUCUUUUUAGAGCUUUCAAGUUUUGGACCCCACUGACUUUCAUAAUAUGGACAAAAACAGCUGAAAUAGUCUUCAAAAUAUCUUCCUUUGUGUCAUAAGAGUUUGGAACAACAUGAUGGUGAGUAAAUGAUGACAAGUCAGUGCUUGUCAGGAAACAACAGAUAAUCUAACAUUAAUCCUAUGAAAACCCACUUAAGGUCAAGGUGAGGGCUCUUUAAGAGGUCAGAAUGAAUUAUAAAACCGUCUGAAUCUUCCCUCAAGAGUGCAGAGCCCUCUGUAUUCGGAGACAGUGAGGAAAAGCCGCGGCUGAGGACGGCAGGGACUCCUGACAGCUGUGUGCAGCGGGUGGUGACAUUUAAAGUCCAGCUGAUGUCACCGUCUGCCUCAGGGUGGGAUGAAUGCCUUCAUGAGACUAUCGCUUCAGGCGUGAAGAGAUGCCCACAACACCUCAAAGUCCAGUUAGAUGGAAACUUUACUUUUAGUAAUGAAGGCAUAUAAUUACACCAGCGGGGGUGAUGAUCUCGCAGCACUGAUGGAUUUCCCUGUUACCAUCCAAGCUGGAGCCUGCAAGCAGCCGAAUGACUAAAGAGGAUUCAUCAUUAGGGGUGCUGAUCCCAGCACAGCAUAGAAGACCAACCACUAGCAGGAAGCAGAGUAGAUAAAUGAAGAAGGAUUCAUGUUUUCCAGGUGAGGUGAAUCCUGCUUGUUUACUGCUUAUAAUUAAUA